rnacentral:rRNA from 1 species
GACGAACGCUGGCGGCGUGCUUAACACAUGCAAGUCGAACGGAAAGGCCCUGCUUUUGUGGGGUGCUCGAGUGGCGAACGGGUGAGUAACACGUGAGUAACCUGCCCUUGACUUUGGGAUAACUUCAGGAAACUGGGGCUAAUACCGGAUAGGAGCUCCUGCUGCAUGGUGGGGGUUGGAAAGUUUCGGCGGUUGGGGAUGGACUCGCGGCUUAUCAGCUUGUUGGUGGGGUAGUGGCUUACCAAGGCUUUGACGGGUAGCCGGCCUGAGAGGGUGACCGGCCACAUUGGGACUGAGAUACGGCCCAGACUCCUACGGGAGGCAGCAGUGGGGAAUAGUGCACAAUGGGCGGAAGCCUGAUGCAGCAACGCCGCGUGCGGGAUGACGGCCUUCGGGUUGUAAACCGCUUUCGCCUGUGACGAAGCGUGAGUGACGGUAAUGGGUAAAGAAGCACCGGCUAACUACGU